CUAAUACAACGUUUGCUAACUCGUUCGCUAACUUGUUGGAUGGGUAUUGGAAGUUACGUUACACUGGUUGUCAUUUGAAAGCAAUAUAUGACCCCUAUGAAUAACGCUAAGUACUGCGUUUAUUAUCGAUGAUUUGAUAAUAAUGGACACGCCCUUUCCAUGUGAUUCUGAUGUACCUCUGCACCGGAUGCAGCUGAUGGUGGAUUAAAGUUACCCUGGACAGACUCUGAAGUCCCACCGUGGAGACACCCAGCUGCUACCUGCCAGUCAAUGCUUUAACCAUGCCCCUAGUGUAAACUAAACACCGGAGGCUGGAUAAUUCCACUCCUGUGACACCUCCCAGUCCCCUGCAUUAGCCCUUCUCUGACUGACCACCAUGCCCCUAAUCGUGGAUGCAGUUUGGGCUGUUUGGAGCAUCGGGGCAGGGGUGUAUGACUACUUCCACACCAGUGCCAUGGAGGAACGCAUCGGCAACCUGGAAAGUGCCCUCUCCAUCCACCAAUGUGUCAUAGCAGUCCUGUCCGCAGGUCUUGUCUUGCUUAUGACCUACAUACUCUGGAGAAAACACUAAAACCGUUAUUACAACCAUGUUCCUGUUCAGUCUUGGCGAUGCAUGCACUGGAAAUAAGUUUCUCCUAGGUUCAGAUCUAGGAUAAUUUCCCUCUGCCCCAAUCCCAAUGUUAUUCACUAGUGGAGGAAAUGCAAAACGGACCCAAGAUGAGCAUCUAGAGGGAACUUCACUCAAGUCUAGGGGAGAUAAGAUCCUCUGCACCCAAAGACUGCACUACAGCUACUUACCAGACUUACAGCCAGUCCCAAAGCCAUCACAGAUGUAACAAUAGUAACAAACUUAUUUCAGGUAGAACUUUUCUCCAGUAGGGCUCAACAGUUCACUACAGAGGCACAGCUACUGGUAACUAUGCUGUUAGAAUGAGAGGAUGAGAACGUCUGGGAAUUGAAGAUAAUUAGAGAAGAAUUACAGCUCCUCUGGUCAUCUCAAGGCCCAGCUCUAAAGACAUGUUAUCUCCAAGUUUGGCAUGGCAAAGAGUGGACAAUAUGCCUCAAGUUGAUUUGGGGACCGGCUGUCUUGACUGGCUGUGAUCAGACUACACUGUAGUUUGCCUCUGUCCAGAUCCACUUUUAGCCUGGUUUCCGAUCGGUUUGUGCUAUCUUCUUUCCAACAGAUCAGAUACCAGGUCAAUUAACUCUACUUGUUCCAUUUACUUGAUCAUCCAUUUAAUGUGACUGUCCUUGGUACUGCAGAAAGGGAUAUGUAAAAUGUCUCCCGUCCAAGUCCCUGUAGAGUAAAAAUAAAUGACAUGUCGAGACUAAACAUUUUGGGCCACUUUCCCGACACAGAUUAUGCUUUGUUCUAUUUAAAAAAAACAUUGUCACUUUGAGAGCCUCCAUUAAAAGUGCAUUUUAAUUGAGGACUUAAACUGCGCACUGGAAAGGGACCCUAUUAGUGGAAGAUGAAACCUAAGUUGUUGUCUAAGUUUUUAACUUGUAUUAGUUCAUGUCACUGACACUGAUGGUUUUCCCUCUACUUGUGCUCAAUACUGUAAUACGUUUUGAAAUCAUGCUAUUUUUAUAAUUGCUGUAUCUGUUAGCUUUGUCUUGCUGACUUAUCAUGGCCAUUGUCUACUCAUGUGCUGCUGUUUGUUGCUGAAUCACUACCAGUUUGAAUUAUCUGUGGGAAAAAGUUAGUU